AAUAAAAGGCGCCGAGACCUUCCUGUCCUCCAUUUUGGUGCAGCUUCUCCACUGACAUGGCGACUCCGACGAGCAUGGGCUCAUGGGAAGCUUUUGUGCAGGCUUCUGGGAUGAGUAGUCCGAAAUCCGUUAAAUUCAAGGCUCCCUCACAUGAACACGGAGGGCAUGGUGACCAUAGAUAUUGUAUUGAUCAUCCCGCUCUGUCUUGGUGACCAUGGUGCAGCUAGGUAGUGAUGGAACAAGGACCUGCAACUCUCUUAGGACUGUUAUUUGUCCAAAACUAAGAGGAUCAUGUCCUUUGGUGGUACUAGGUUGCUUACCUGAAGUACUCAGCAGGUGGCACAUCUGAUAUGAAAGCUUCACAGGACUACAGUGGAUUCUUGAAGUUCUUCCCCCUUGAGUGUACUGCAGCUGGACUACAAUGUCUUCCCUUGAGUGUACUGCAGCUGUUGUUGCUACUGUCCCUCCAGGUUGCCCCAUUGUCACUUGGUUUGCUGGUGAUCUUGAAGGUCAUGUAAGCUGCAUCCGAGAAGUUGAACUGACACCGAUGGAUGUCCUUGUACUGUGCAUCUGCUGAACCGAAGCAGAUUGAAUGAAUGGUGUUAUCGAUGGACACCUAUAAAUUCAAUGUUUUUCCUUUUGUAUUCCCUUCCAAAGAUGCUUGUUAAAUAAAUGGCUUUAUGG